CGUAGGGUGCGAGCGUUAAUCGGAAUUACUGGGCGUAAAGCGUGCGCAGGCGGUUUUGUAAGACAGGCGUGAAAUCCCCGGGCUCAACCUGGGAACUGCGCUUGUGACUGCAAGGCUAGAGUACGGCAGAGGGGGGUGGAAUUCCACGUGUAGCAGUGAAAUGCGUAGAGAUGUGGAGGAACACCAAUGGCGAAGGCAGCCCCCUGGGUCGAUACUGACGCUCAUGCACGAAAGCGUGGGUAGCAAACAGGAUUAGAUACCCUGGUAGUCCACGCCCUAAACGAUGUCAACUAGGUGUUGGGUGGGUAAAACCAUUUAGUACCGGAGUUAACGCGUGAAGUUGACCGCCUGGGGAGUACGGCCGCAAGGUUA
rnacentral:rRNA from 1 species